rnacentral:rRNA from 1 species
GACGAACGCUGGCGGCGUGCUUAACACAUGCAAGUCGAACGGAAAGGCCCUGCUUUUGUGGGGUGCUCGAGUGGCGAACGGGUGAGUAACACGUGAGUAACCUGCCCUUGACUUUGGGAUAACUUCAGGAAACUGGGGCUAAUACCGGAUAGGAGCUCCUGCUGCAUGGUGGGGGUUGGAAAGUUUCGGCGGUUGGGGAUGGACUCGCGGCUUAUCAGCUUGUUGGUGGGGUAGUGGCUUACCAAGGCUUUGACGGGUAGCCGGCCUGAGAGGGUGACCGGCCACGUUGGGACUGUGAUACGGCCCAGACUCCUACGGGAGGCAGCAGUGGGGAAUAUUGCACAAUGGGCGGAAGCCUGAUGCAGCAACGCCGCGUGCGGGAUGACGGCCUUCGGGUUGUAAACCGCUUUCGCCUGUGACGAAGCGGGAGUGACGGUAAUGGGUGAAGAAGCACCGGCUAACUACGUG